rnacentral:lncRNA from 10 species
GCAUUCACUAUACACUUUAGAUUUUUCCAUACGGAUCACCAAUUCCUAAAAUCUAUUGGACAAUAGGCCAUUGUUUCCUUCUAUCUGAAACAUCAGCUCCGUUAUAUCAAGAUUCCAGCUGGUUCAGAACACAGGCCCCGGCAGAGAAGGGAAUUGUGUAUUUACCCCAACAACCCUCAACAAUGACAGCUCCUUCCGUCUUCUAACCUCUGGGCAGACACUGACUAAAGGAAGAAAGCACAGAGAGGAUCUCUUGACGGAAUGCAAAAGACUUCCCUAGAUGUCUGCUAUCAAAUGUCUUCCUUUUAAUCUUGGGAGUAGAAAGGGAACCUGGCUUCCUUUCUGGACUUAACCAUGAAACCAGCACCAUCACAUCACCCCUAAACAGAAACUAAGACCCUUCCACAUGCCCCUUG